rnacentral:rRNA from 1 species
GACGAACGCUGGCGGCGUGCUUAACACAUGCAAGUCGAACGGAAAGGCCCUGCUUUUGUGGGGUGCUCGAGUGGCGAACGGGUGAGUAACACGUGAGUAACCUGCCCUUGACUUUGGGAUAACUUCAGGAAACUGGGGCUAAUACCGGAUAGGAGCUCCUGCUGCAUGGUGGGGGUUGGAAAGUUUCGGCGGUUGGGGAUGGACUCGCGGCUUAUCAGCUUGUUGGUGGGGUAGUGGCUUACCAAGGCUUUGACGGGUAGCCGGCCUGAGAGGGUGACCGGGCAAAAUGGGACUGAGAUACGGCCCAGACUCCUACGGGAGGCAGCAGUGGGGAAUAUUGCACAAUGGGCGGAAGCCUGAUGCAGCAACGCCGCGUGCGGGAUGACGGCCUUCGGGUUGUAAACCGCUUUCGCCUGUGACGAAGCGUGAGUGACGGUAAUGGGUAAAGAAGCACCGGCUAACUACGUG